rnacentral:rRNA from 1 species
ACAGCAGCAGCCGCGGUAAUGCGUAGGGUGCAAGCGUUAAUCGGAAUUACUGGGCGUAAAGCGUGCGCAGGCGGUUCGCUAAGACAGAUGUGAAAUCCCCGGGCUUAACCUGGGAACUGCAUUUGUGACUGGCGGGCUAGAGUAUGGCAGAGGGGGGUAGAAUUCCACGUGUAGCAGUGAAAUGCGUAGAUAUGUGGAGGAAUACCGAUGGCGAAGGCAGCCUCCUGGGAUAACACUGACGUUGAGGCUCGAAAGCGUGGGGAGCAAACAGGAUUAGAUACCCCCGUAGUCCCUGUCUCUUAUAC